rnacentral:tRNA from 1 species
GACCGCGAUAGCUCAGUUGGUAGAGCAUCUACUCGGUAUGCGGAGAGUUGCCGGUUCGUUUCCGGAUGGUCG